GUUCGUUGAUCUUCAUGUCCCGUUCGUGUGCUCUGGUAUCCCUGAUUGAACCUGUGUGUACCGACCUUCGUCCGUUCUCCGACCAACCUUGCUGGAUCUUCGAGUCUGUGUAACCACCCAACAGUAGGGCCACCUUCUCAUCAGCGCUUUGAAUCUUGGAGGGCGAGAGGCUGUACAACAUCGCCUUGAAACCCACCGCGACAGCCGAGCUGUUCUGGAGCUACAACGAACGCAAGGCUUCGGUCGUGACAACAACACAAGAUCUUACAGUUCAGCCAUUUGAAGAUCUGGACCAUUUGGACUGGAUUUACCUAUCGGGGCACAUAACCAAAGUCCAAGAGACCUCCAGAGUGAGAGGAGGUGAUAGCGGGAACCACACCCUCCCCCCGCAGAGUCACGGCCAGGGUCAUCUUCUGACAACGCACCUCCAAAGUCUCACAGUCCGAUGCCCCGGAGGGAGUUAAGAAGCGAAAAGGGGCCAUAAAUAUCCAGCAGUGAUGACUUCAACUUGGAAACGAGCACAAAAACAAUGGUGGCAUGAAAGUGUUGUCGAGUUGAGUCAUGGCAGCAGGAGAAAUUGAAGACAUUCUUGAGAAAUAUGCGCAAUUAGCCGGCAGGAAUAAUUAAAAAUCGAAAGCAACAAUGAUAAAAGACAUUAUAUACAUAAAACACACCAAUCGAUGUGACGCAGUUAUUAGGCUUUUAUAAUUUUUUCAACCAAACCUUCUUGAGAAACCAUCCUUGAGAAACAUGCACAAUUAGCCGGCAGGCAGAAUUAGAAAUCGAAAACGACACCAUGAAAAACAUUAUCCGCAAAUAUAUAUAUAUACACAACACACCAAUCGAUGUGAUGCAGUUAUUAGGCUGUGAUAUUUUUUUUUUCAACCAAACUACAGCUUCGUGAAUAGAAAAGAAGAUAUCUUUAAUAUAAAAGGGGAUGCGUCAGGAAGGGCAUCCGGCGUAAAAACUGUGCCAAACAAAUAUGAGCGUUCAUCUGAGAUGACACGUUGUGGCGACCCCUAACGGGACAAGCUGAAAGGAAGUUGUUGUUGUUUGUAGAAUCAGCUUUUCAUGGCAAAGUGUGCAUACUAUCCACAAAUUAACUACAACAUCCAUCCAUUUUCUUAUGGAAAUUAUGUUGUCCGGUGUGUUGAAUGUAGAACUACAACAUCCAUCCAUCCGUCCAUUUUUUUUGCCGCUUAUCCUCACUAGGGUCGCAGGGAGUGCUGGACCCUAUCCCAGCUGUCAAGGUGCAGGAGGCGGGGUACGCCCUGAACUGGUUGCCAGCCAAUCGCAGGGCACAAAGAGACAAACAGUCGCACUCCCAAUCACACCUAUGGGCAAUUUAGAGCGUCCAAUUAAUGUUGCGUGUUUUUGGGAUGUGGGAGGAAACUGGA